GACGAACGCUGGCGGCGUGCCUAAUACAUGCAAGUUGAGCGCUGAAGGUUGGUACUUGUACCAACUGGAUGAGCAGCGAACGGGUGAGUAACGCGUGGGGAAUCUGCCUUUGAGCGGGGGACAACAUUUGGAAACGAAUGCUAAUACCGCAUAAAAACUUUAAACACAAGUUUUAAGUUUGAAAGAUGCAAUUGCAUCACUCAAAGAUGAUCCCGCGUUGUAUUAGCUAGUUGGUGAGGUAAAGGCUCACCAAGGCGAUGAUACAUAGCCGACCUGAGAGGGUGAUCGGCCACAUUGGGACUGAGACACGGCCCAAACUCCUAAGGGAGGCAGCAGUAGGGAAUCUUCGGCAAUGGACGAAAGUCUGACCGAGCAACGCCGCGUGAGUGAAGAAGGUUGUCGGAUCGUAAAACUCGGUUGGUAGAGAAGAACGUUGGUGAGAGUGGAAAGCUCAUCAAGUGACGGUAACUACCCAGAAAGGGACGGCUAACUACGUG
rnacentral:rRNA from 1 species